CACACCCGCGACCGCUCUACAGGGCCCUGGCUUCCACCCAGCACAAAGAGUCCUGGCCUCCAGCUCACGGCUUCCGGGACUCAACGCUGAGCCGGGCCACGGGUCUCGAUCCCCCAACCCGACGCCGCCCAAGGCUCACAGCCUCCGGGCUACGGCCUGGUGCUGCUAGGCUGGGAAAGAAGACCCACAAACCUGGGUCCGCUAGGCGCAGGGUAGCACUUCCCAGAGGGCCGCGCGGCUCGCCGGGCGGGUCUGGCCUUCGGCGUGCGAGUCAGGAGAGUGGCCAAGGCUCGGCUAGCCCAGAUCGCCAUUUCUUAGGAGGAGCUGAGAGGAAGAGUGGCUGUCGGACUUCUUAAAGCCGUGCACCAGGAGCUGGUGACCUUCAGAGAUGUGGCAGUAGACUUCCCCCAAGAGGAAUGGGGUUGCCUGAAUUCUUCUCAAAGGCAUUUGUACAGUUGUGUGAUGUUGGAGAACUAUAGAAUCCUGGUGUCUCUGGGCCUUUGCUUUUCUAAGCCAAGUGUAAUAUUCCUGUUGGAACAAGGGAAAGACCCAUGGACCGUGAAGACAGAGCUGACAGACAGUUUCUCCACAGGUGGGCAUCGCUACCGGUGGAUAAACACAGAACACUACGUGGAGCGAGGCUCAAAGAACAGCGGUGCAGGUAAGUGGGGCCAGGACUCAAGCGAAGGUGGAACCGUUCCAGCCCAUGUUGGCAGCGUUCAUGUCGUAAUAGUUGAUGUAGACCCGGUCCGGGCUGAUGUGCAGGCGAUCGGACAGCAGGCCACACAGCAGCUUACUGUAGUUGCGGU
rnacentral:lncRNA from 1 species